rnacentral:rRNA from 1 species
AAUGAACGCUGGCGGCAUGCCUUACACAUGCAAGUCGAACGGCAGCAUGACCUAGCUUGCUAGGUUGAUGGCGAGUGGCGAACGGGUGAGUAAUGCAUCGGAACGUGCCUUUUAGUGGGGGAUAACUUAGCGAAAGUUACGCUAAUACCGCAUAUUCUCUGAGGAGGAAAGCAGGGGACCUUCGGGCCUUGCGCUAGAAGAGCGGCCGAUGUCGGAUUAGCUAGUUGGUGAGGUAAAGGCUCACCAAGGCAACGAUCCGUAGCGGGUCUGAGAGGAUGAUCCGCCACACUGGGACUGAGACAAGGCCCAGACUCCUACGGGAGGCAGCAGUGGGGAAUUUUGGACAAUGGGCGCAAGCCUGAUCCAGCCAUGCCGCGUGAGUGAAGAAGGCCUUCGGGUUGUAAAGCUCUUUCGGCUGGGAAGAAAUCGCACCCUCUAAUACAGGGUGUGGAUGACGGUACCAGCAGAAGAAGCACCGGCUAACUACGUG